UACGUAGGGUGCAAGCGUUGUCCGGAAUUAUUGGGCGUAAAGAGCUCGUAGGCGGUUCGUCGCGUCGGCUGUGAAAUCCCGAGGCUCAACCUCGGGUCUGCAGUCGAUACGGGCGGACUGGAGUUCGGCAGGGAGACUGGAAUUCCGUGGUGUAGCGGUGAAAUGCGCAGAUAUCAGGAGGAACACCGGUGGCGAAGGCGGGUCUCUGGGCCGAUACUGACGCUGAGGAGCGAAAGCGUGGGGAGCGAACAGG
rnacentral:rRNA from 1 species